rnacentral:rRNA from 1 species
AAAAGAAACCAACAGGGGAUUGCCCUAGUAACGGCGAGUGAAGCGGCAACAGCUCAAAUUUGAAAUCUGGCCCUCGGGUCCGAGUUGUAAUUUGUAGAGGAUGCUUUUGGCGCGGUGCCUUCCGAGUUCCCUGGAACGGGACGCCUUAGAGGGUGAGAGCCCCGUACGGUUGGACACCAAGCCUCUGUAAAGCUCCUUCGACGAGUCGAGUAGUUUGGGAAUGCUGCUCUAAAUGGGAGGUAAAUUUCUUCUAAAGCUAAAUAUUGGCCAGAGACCGAUAGCGCACAAGUAGAGUGAUCGAAAGAUGAAAAGCACUUUGAAAAGAGGGUUAAAUAGCACGUGAAAUUGUUGAAAGGGAAGCGUUUGCGACCAGACCUCUUCCUGGCGGAUCAUCCGGUGUUCUCACCGGUGCACUUCGCCAGGUCGAGGCCAGCAUCGGUUCUCGUAGGGGGAUAAAAGCUCUGGGAACGUAGCUCCUCCGGGAGUGUUAUAGCCCUCUGUAUAAUACCUUUACGGGGACCGAGGACCGCGCUUUAUGCAAGGAUGCUGGCGUAAUGGUCGUCAACGACCCGUCUUGAAACACGGACCAAGGAGUCGAACAUUUAUGCGAGUGUUUGGGUGUUAAACCCUCACGCGUAAUGAAGGUGAACGUAGGUGAGAGCCCUUACGGGUGCAUCAUCGACCGAUCCUGAUGUCUUCGGAUGGAUUUGAGUAAGAGCAUAGCUGUUCGGACCCGAAAGAUGGUGAACUAUGCGUGGAUAGGGUGAAGCCAGAGGAAACUCUGGUGGAGGCUCGCAGCGGUUCUGACGUGCAAAUCGAUCGUCAAAUCUGCGCAUGGGGGCGAAAGACUUAUCGAACCAUCUAGUAGCU